CGCAGCACAGGCGGGCAGUUCCCCCUCUCGCCCCGGCCCGCCCGCGUCGGGGCGGGGAAGCGGCCUUGAAUCACCGGCGUGUGCCCGGCGGCUGGCCUCCGUCGGGGCAUUUAAAUGCCAGCCGGGACCCAGCCCGAGGCAGCGCCAGCCGCCACCCACGCCGGAACUAAGCAGGAGUCGGCCCGAUCGCCCGCAUCCCGCUCCGAGAGAACCGCGCGCGGCCGCUACCCGCGCCAGCCACCAGCCAGCCGGCCGGCCGGCUCUUGCUUCGCCCCGCUCCUCGCCCGGGCCCCCAUCAGCGACCAUGCGGGCCAUCCCUGCGCCGGGCAUCCGCUUCCUGCGCUCCUUCUCCAGGGACAGCUGGUAUCGGGGAUUGAUUCUGGUGCUGACAUUCCUGUGCUACACAACUUUUCAUCUCUCACGGAAACCCAUUAGCAUUGUAAAGAGCGAACUGCAUCAUAACUGUUCUUCACGGAGAUCCAGUUCAAACAAUGAGUCCAACAGCACCACGUGGUGUGACUGGAAGCCUUUUGAUCAGGAUAACUAUAAGGAGCUGUUUGGAGCCCUGGAUAAUGCUUUCUUGAUUGCUUAUGCUAUUGGGAUGUAUAUCAGUGGGAUUUUUGGUGAGCGUCUUCCACUGCGCUACUACCUCUCUGGAGGCAUGUUGCUGAGUGGCUUGUUUACUUCCUUAUUUGGACUGGGCUACUACUGGAAUAUCCAUCAAUUAUGGUACUUUGUGUUUGUACAGAUUCUGAACGGCUUGGCUCAGACAACUGGUUGGCCAUCGGUGGUGACGUGUGUCGGCAACUGGUUUGGAAAGGGGAAGCGAGGUUUAAUCAUGGGCAUCUGGAAUUCACACACAUCUGUCGGAAACAUCUUGGGGUCCUUGAUUGCUGGCAUCUGGGUUUCAGAGGCAUGGGGGCUGUCGUUCAUUGUACCUGGAAUCAUUAUAGCCAUGAUGGGUGUCAUCUGCUUCCUGUUCCUCAUUGAAUAUCCAGAAGAUGUUGACUGCAGCCCACCGCUUCACCAUGAGACCAGUUCAGAUGAGAAAGGCCUGGAGGCAGGACAUUCCAUCAGUGAUGGGAGCCUGAAUGUUAGCAACAGCCGAGAAAACAUCAUUGACAUGGUGGAAAAUGCCAAAGACUCUGUGGAGGAUCGAGAAGCCAUCAGCUUCACUGGUGCCCUCAAGAUACCUGGAGUGAUUGAAUUUUCCUUCUGCCUCUUGUUUGCCAAACUAGUCAGCUACACCUUUCUCUAUUGGUUGCCCCUCUACAUCGUGAAUGUUGCUCACUUAAGUGCAAAAGAAGCUGGAGAUAUGUCAACUUUGUUUGAUGCUGGUGGCAUUAUAGGGGGCAUCGUGGCUGGUCUCGUCUCAGACUACACUGGUGGCAGGGCCACCACAUGCUGUGCAAUGCUCAUCCUGGCAGCUCCCAUGCUCUUUUUGUACAACUAUGCUGGGCAAAAUGGACUAGGCACAUCCAUAGCGAUGCUCCUUAUCUGUGGUGGCCUUGUUAAUGGACCAUAUGCUCUCAUUACGACAGCCGUAUCAGCUGAUUUGGGUACUCAUGAAAGUCUCCAGGGAAAUGCAAAAGCUCUUUCCACAGUCACAGCCAUCAUUGAUGGAACUGGAUCUGUAGGUGCUGCUCUUGGACCCUUGCUAGCAGGUCUGAUCUCCAGCUCUGGCUGGGACAAUGUCUUUUACAUGUUGAUUUCAGCCGAUGUUUUGGCUUGUCUACUUCUUUCACGAGUGGUAUUCAAAGAAAUGCGAGGAUGGUGUGGCUGCUAUACAAGAAAAAGAGGCUCUUGCUUGGCAUUAACUCACCCAGUAGUGUUGGAUGCAAAAUAGUUUACGGUGUGUCAGUCACCAUUUUUUGAACAGGCAUGCUCUGGGGCCAUAAAUCCCGCUUUAAAGAAUUUUAAUGUGGCCUGCCUGACCAGAGAAGCCCAUCGAGGCAAGAAGGAAGAGCAUUGCCAAGAGGGACCGGUUUGUUGCCAACCAGCCAACUCAUGUGGGAGGAAUUAAUGAAGCUCAAAUGUGCUCCAGGGACAAAACUCUCUUGCAAAACACUAGCCAGGUCACUGGCUGCACUCUUAUUGUUUAAAAUGAUCGACGGUGGGAACUAGGAAAAAUGAUGCAACAGGAGAAAAAGAAUGGGCAUAUCUGGAAUCCACGUCGCGUCCCCAGACCUUUGUUUUUCUAUCAGUUGCUAGCUGCAUCCCAUUUUUUUACCACUAUUUUUUUACUAUUAAAAUGGAGAACCGGUCCAGGGUUCAUUUCUCUACCUGGAGGAAGAAAAGGCUUUGGAUCUCUCUUGUUGCCUCUACCACAGUCCUAGUUUUCUUCUCUGGAGAUGGUUUUAUUUUAUGCAAAACCACUACCAAGUCUUUAAUUUGAAUUACAAGAAUGAUACAGGGAAAAGAGGUUUCCUCUUAAGCCAAACUCUUUUUUACUAAACGUUUUAUGUUAAUGAUAGAUAUUUCUACUACAAGGACUACCGCAUGAAGCUAGAUGCAAAAUAAUACCAUGGGCAGAGGCAAUCGCAUGGUGGCCACAGAAUGGAGCUGAUCACCCAUAAGCCAUCCUUAAACCCAGUAAGCAAAACUCAUGUUCUAUAGGUGAAUAAAAUUUGGGAGGGAAAGGUUAGUGAUUUGCUCAAAGUGAGGCAUGGCAAGCAUUUUUUGUUGAACCUGCAGACUUAAGGGACUUCUUGGCAGAAGGAAAUGGCAGGCCACUUCCACACCACUGCAGGAAGAUUCAAAAUCAACCUGUUGUCUAUUCCUGUUUUAUGUCCCCUACAAUCCUUGAAAUAUAUCCAACUGGAAAGCCAAA